UACGUAGGGGGCUAGCGUUGUCCGGAUUUAUUGGGUUUAAAGGGUGCGUAGGUGGCCUUAUAAGUCAGUGGUGAAAGCCUGCAGCUUAACUGUAGGACUGCCAUUGAUACUGUAGGGCUUGAGUACUGAUGAGGUAGGCGGAAUUGAUAGUGUAGCGGUGAAAUGCAUAGAUAUUAUCAAGAACACCGAUUGCGAAGGCAGCUUACUAAGGAGUUACUGACACUGAGGCACGAAAGCGUGGGGAGCAAACAGG
rnacentral:rRNA from 1 species